rnacentral:rRNA from 1 species
UACGUAGGUGGCAAGCGUUAUCCGGAAUUAUUGGGCGUAAAGCGCGCGUAGGCGGUUUUUUAAGUCUGAUGUGAAAGCCCACGGCUCAACCGUGGAGGGUCACUGGAAACUGGAAAACUUGAGUGCAGAAGAGGAAAGUGGAAUUCCAUGUGUAGCGGUGAAAUGCGCAGAGAUAUGGAGGAACACCAGUGGCGAAGGUGACUUUCUGGUCUGUAACUGACGCUGAUGUGCGAAAGCGUGGGGAUCAAACAGGAUUAGAUAC